AAGUUGAUCAUGGCUCAGAUUGAACGCUGGCGGCAGGCCUAACACAUGCAAGUCGAGCGGAUGACGGGAGCUUGCUCCUGUGAUUCAGCGGCGGACGGGUGAGUAAUGCCUAGGAAUCUGCCUGGUAGUGGGGGACAACGUUUCGAAAGGAACGCUAAUACCGCAUACGUCCUACGGGAGAAAGCAGGGGACCUUCGGGCCUUGCGCUAUCAGAUGAGCCUAGGUCGGAUUAGCUUGUUGGUGAGGUAAUGGCUCACCAAGGCGACGAUCCGUAACUGGUCUGAGAGGAUGAUCAGUCACACUGGAACUGAGACACGGUCCAGACUCCUACGGGAGGCAGCAGUGGGGAAUAUUGGACAAUGGGCGAAAGCCUGAUCCAGCCAUGCCGCGUGUGUGAAGAAGGUCUUCGGAUUGUAAAGCACUUUAAGUUGGGAGGAAGGCAUUGUAGAUUAAUACUCCGCACAUUUUGACGUACCGACAGAAUAAGACGGGCAUCACUGA
rnacentral:rRNA from 1 species